rnacentral:rRNA from 1 species
GAUGAACGCUGGCGGCGUGCCUAAUACAUGCAAGUCGAGCGAACAGACGAGGAGCUUGCUCCUCUGACGUUAGCGGCUGACGGGUGAGUAACACGUGGAUAACCUACCUAUAAGACUGGGAUAACUUCGGGAAACCGGAGCUAAUACCGGAUAAUAUAUUGAACCGCAUGGUUCAAUAGUGAAAGACGGUUUUGCUGUCACUUAUAGAUGGAUCCGCGCCGCAUUAGCUAGUUGGUAAGGUAACGGCUUACCAAGGCAACGAUGCGUAGCCGACCUGAGAGGGUGAUCGGCCACACUGGAACUGAGACACGGUCCAGACUCCUACGGGAGGCAGCAGUAGGGAAUAUUCCGCAAUGGGCGAAAGCUUGACGGAGCAACGCCGCGUGAGUGAUGAAGGUCUUCGGAUCGUAAAACUCUGUUAUUAGGGAAGAACAAAUGUGGAAGUAACUAUGCACGUCUUGACGGUACCUAAUCAGAAAGCCACGGCUAACUACGUG